rnacentral:tRNA from 1 species
ACUGAUCAAAAGAGCGGUUCGCAACUCGGGAACCUAAUAGGUUCCCCAAGCGGUGUUUCUCUUCGAGAGACAACGUUGCCAAACCGUUUCAUUUGUU